UACGAAGGGUGCAAGCGUUAAUCGGAAUUACUGGGCGUAAAGGGUGCGUAGGCGGUUCGUUAAGUCUGUUGUGAAAUCCCCGGGCUCAACCUGGGAAUGGCGAUGGAUACUGGCGAGCUAGAGUGUGUCAGAGGAUGGUGGAAUUCCCGGUGUAGCGGUGAAAUGCGUAGAGAUCGGGAGGAACAUCAGUGGCGAAGGCGGCCAUCUGGGACAACACUGACGCUGAAGCACGAAAGCGUGGGGAGCAAACCGG
rnacentral:rRNA from 1 species